rnacentral:rRNA from 1 species
UACCAGACUCCUACGGGAGGCAGCAGUGGGGGAUAUUGCACAAUGGGGGGAACCCUGAUGCAGCGACGCCGCGUGGGUGAAGAAGCGCCUCGGCGCGUAAAGCCCUGUCAGCAGGGAAGAAAAUGACGGUACCUGACUAAGAAGCCCCGGCUAACUACGUGCCAGCAGCCGCGGUAAUACGUAGGGGGCGAGCGUUAUCCGGAUUCACUGGGUGUAAAGGGAGCGUAGACGGCCAAGCAAGCCAGGGGUGAAAGCCCGGGGCCCAACCCCGGGACUGCCCUUGGAACUGCUUGGCUGGAGUGCGGGAGGGGCAGGCGGAAUUCCUGGUGUAGCGGUGAAAUGCGUAGAUAUUAGGAGGAACGCCAGUGGCGAAGGCGGCCUGCUGGGCUUUUACUGACGCUGAGGCUCGAAAGUGUGGGGAGCAAACAGGAUUAGAUACCCGGGUAA